rnacentral:rRNA from 1 species
GUUUCCGGUUAAAUCCAUUAGCUCAACUAAUGGGCUGCCGAAAAUACUGCAGAACUAGGGAGUGGGAGAGGUAGACGGUACUCGGUAGGAAGGGGUAAAAUCCUUUGAUCUAUUGAUGACCACCAGUGGCGAAGGCGGUCUACCAGAACACGUUCGACGGUGAGGGAUGAAAGCUGGGGGAGCAAACCGGAUUAGAUACCCGGGUAGUCCCAGCUGUAAACGAUGCAGACUCGGUGAUGCGCUGGCUUGUGGCCAGUGCAGUGCCGCAGGGAAGCCGUUAAGUUUGCCGCCUGGGAAGUACGUACGCAAGUAUGAAACUUAAAGGAAUUGGCGGGGGAGCACCACAAGGGGUGAAGCCUGCGGUUCAAUUGGAGUCAACGCCAGAAAUCUUACCCGAAGAGACAGCAGAAUGAAGGUCAAGCUGGAGACUUUACCAGACAAGCUGAGAAGUGGUGCAUGGCCGUCGCCAGCUCGUGCCGUGAGAUGUCCUGUUAAGUCAGGUAACGAGCGAGAUCCCUGCCUCUAGUUGCCACCAUUACUCUCAGGAGUAGUGGGGCGAAUUAGCGGGACCGCCGUAGUUAAUACGGAGGAAGGAAGGGGCCACGGCAGGUCAGUAUGCCCUGAAACUUUGGGGCCACACGCGGGCUGCAAUGGUAGCGGCAAUGGGUUCCGAAUCCGAAAGGUGGAGGUAAUCCUCAAACGCUACCACAGUUAUGAUUGAGGGCUGCAACUCGCCCUCAUGAAUAUGGAAUCCCUAGUAACUGCGUGUCAUUAUCGCGCGGUGAAUACGUCCCUGCUCCUUGCACACACCGCCCGU